ACAUUGUAGCAAAAUGGCGACUGUCAUUCACAACCCCCUGAAAGCGUAAGUAAGACUAAAAAAUGUACAUAUUCCGCGUGGUUUCAAUAUGAAAAAAAGGCGCCUUGUGGAGCGCAGCCGGCGCCCGGCUCUCGCAGACACCUCCCGCUGCGCCCGGGCUCCUCUUUUCUUCCUGCUCUUACUUCUUCAUCUUUUUUUUUCCUCCCAGCGCGCAGAAAUGUCAGGAGAUGCAAUUAACAAAAAGAAAAUUGUUACAUUUGUGUUCUGCUUAAUUGGCUGACCGGGACCGGGAGGGAACACAGAGCGGCGGCGCCGGCUCAGGAGCUGCGGGGGUCGUGAGCAGCCCGGGUCUUCACGGUUCUCGGAGUCCCCUGCCUCUCCCGGCGCCGCGCGGAGCUGGCUGAGGCUGGCCAGAGCGCGGGGUUGGCUGAGCCUGGCCGGAGCGCGGGGCAGAGACCGCGUCGUGCGCUCGGCUGAGCCCUGCACUCCAAGCCCGAACCUUCCCGGCCCCGCUGCUCGUCCACCCAGGCGGGCAGACGGACCGCAGCGGCUGCGGAGUUUUGCAGGGCGUUCGCUCUGCCUUCCGAGCUCUCGCAGGGAGUUUGUGUAAACCUUCCGGAGUUGGGAGGACAGCGCGCGGAGCGGCGGGUCCCGGGAGUCCUGGGGCCCAGGUGCUUGCCCCGGGCUUUUCCACUCCGGCAGCCGGGGAUCAGGCAGGCGCUCCGGGCGGUCGCCGGUGUGUCUGUGUAUUUGUAGGCUAACUGGCUCUAGUAAAUUAACGAUCCGGGUUAACUUGGGGUUGAUAUGGAGGCAGGGAAACUGCAGGUCUUAUAAAUGGUGUGCUUGCCUGCUCUGGGUGAAAAGCCGAGGCGGUGGAGGCGGCGGUGGAGGGCUCUGGCGACAGCGAGGGGCAGGUGCCUCCCGGAGACUUUGAGCGGACACAGGGGGGCGGGCUGCGCAAGGACUCGCGGGGGCCGGUUCCCGAUCGGAGCUGCCUGCCCGCCGGUCUUCCUUCCUUCCUUCCUUCCUUCCUUCCUUCCUUCCUUCCUUCCUUCUUCCAGUCGGUGGACUGAAUAUGAAGCCGCAAGUCCGCGGGUGAUCGCGGAGCCGGGGGUGGCCUCGGAAAACUAGUGUGGCUCUCAAGGGGCGCUAUUGGCAGGCAUGUUGGCAGAGGGUGGAUCCUUGGGAAUCGCGGCGCGGCGUGGGCACCCAGUGGGUGCCCGGUGUACUAGGACUUCCCCGCCCUGAUGAAAGCCAGUGGGAGUCGGAGGGUGAGCGUGGGUGUUUAGUGCCAAUUCUUCCCGGUGUGUGUCAGUGGUCGAUCUUGGCUCUUUUAGCUGCGCGCUACAGCGUCCCUGGCUAUGGGAGUCGAAAACACCGUUCGCUUUGGGGAGCAGCAGGGCGGCGGCGAGAGAGUGUGCGUGGGAUUCCUAGUGCCAAGAAACCCGUAGGGAGAACCCGCUGCGUUUGCACCAGCCAACAACCAGGAAUAGGGCAGGGAUGUCCCAGAUCUUGGAGUUUCCAUGAGAUAUUGCUGUAAAGACGGAGGCUGAGCUUGAUGCGAGUUCCUGGCUCCCGUUCUCGUUCGGAAGCUCAGCUACUUUGCACUCGCGACAGCGUCUCACCGAAGAGAGAAAUUGUUUUAUGGCAGAAGAAAUGGGCGUAACUUCCCCGCUCCUCGCCGACUCCCGCCGCCACACCGCUGGGGCUGGGAGUUUCUCCAGAACCCACACACAGCUGAUUUGCAAUUUCCUCAUUUCCAGCCGAAAUCACGUAGCCGAGCUGAUGCUGCUUGGUAAACUCAAGUCGGAGAGAUCUAUUUGCUAUGUGUACAGGGUUCUUCAUUGGCAAAGCGGCAUCCUUGAUGCCCGGGAGCGGGCUUACGCUCGGGCGCGCGCAGGAGCUCCACACUCCUGGGUCCCCCAGAUCUUUCCACUUUUUUUUUUUUUUUCCACAGAAGAGUGCAUGUAUAAGAAAUUGUGGGGGAGAAGGAACAGAGAAGCUAGAAGGUGGCCAAUCAGUUAAUAGAACUAGUUCAGAUUUACACUUGUAUCCCUUAAUAAUUGGAAAUACUUGCCGUGGGAUGCAUUUGUAACUCCGUCUUGGCUCACGCACGCGGACGCUCACACAACACCCCUGUCUGCCUUUCCUCAGAGGAAGUCGAAUGGUCACUUAUAAUUAGCCGCCCCCUUUUGCAUCCAGUCCUCUUCCCCUGAGGGCUAAGGGUGUAAAUAAUAACCCCAAUCGGUCAAGCUAUUUGCACCCUGGACAUUUUAAAAACUCCGCACGCAGGAGCACACACAUCGUUACCGGGAGACUGAGGCCAUCUGCUUUAUUAUUAUUAUUAUAAAAACAACUUGUUUAAUAAAACAUCUUAUACAUGCCAUUUGUUUCUAGAAGUUGCUGAUCAGGAAACAAAACACACGUGAAUAAAUUAUGCAUGGGCCAAAUUAGAACAAAGCAUAGCAACCCAGCAAGCUGAAGGGAUGGAUGGGGGGGGGGCAGGGAGGAGGAGGAGUGAGGAGAAUGGCUUGGAGAGCUUAUGUGUUUAUCCUUGUGUGCCCCUCCUGACAAUGAACCGGAGCUCCAAACUGCAUUAGCAUUUUCUCCGGGUGCAAGCAGUCUUUCUCGUCUUAAAAAGGCAACAUCACGGACGCCCCCUACAGAAGAAACUGGUCACACAAAGAUUUCCUCUUGGGCCUGGGGAUAAGCAGCAGUAGUUACGGUGUUGGGAAGAAGCCAGCUCGGGUUUCUUUCAUGCCACCCUGUGUAGGGCUAUGCCUUAGACUGUGGGUCACUUUUCAUCUCGCUAGCUUUUUUUCCACGUGGGGCAUUCAAUUAUUCAAUUCGCUGGAUGACUGGAUGGCUCAACUUGAAUUUCUUUGCUUUGCGUGGGUUGGGGGUGUCUUCUGUAAGGUCCCAAGCGCCUGAAAACAGCCUUUCUUGGUAGUUUGCCUUUCUUCCUGGCUGUCUUUGAUCUCCCCUCAACUCCCCUUUUCUUCCUGGUUGCUCUCACCCCUUUAUCUCCGAAGCUGACAGUCUGGCUUCUCCAUUUUAGCCUUUAACUUCUUGUUACUGCCCAACAGGGUGUUAGAGGCAGAAACAGGAGCUGCCAGGCCAGAUUCGAUCAGACAGGGACUCUGCAGGUGGCCCUACAGCCAAGCAGUCACAUCUGGACAAAUAGAAUUCAGAGGCACUGACGGACAUGUGUGAUGUGUAAAUGUGAGUUGCCUGCUAUUUAAAUUAGCAGCUACACUGUCUGAGUGCAGACUGUUGGAGUCAUCCUAAACUCCUGUGUACACAGAAAGUGAACAGGGAUAGAUUUGAUAAAGGCACACGUAUAAGUUACAUGUUGUGUACUUGUCAAUUUCUGUAUACUUGGUAAAUAAAAUGCCUAAAAUUUAAAAAAUUACCUAUCUUAGGUGGCAUGGUGGCACAUGCUUUUAAUCCUAGCACUCAGGAGGCUGAAUUUGUGUCCAGCCUAGUCUACAUAGUGAGUUCUGGGCAGCUAGAGCUACAUAGAGAGGACCUAUUU
rnacentral:lncRNA from 1 species